UCGAGGGGCAUCGGGAUUGAAGCUUGCUUCAAUUGCCGGCGACCGGCGCACGGGUGCGUAACGCGUAUGUAACCUACCUAUAACAGGGGCAUAACACUGAGAAAUUGGUACUAAUUCCCCAUAAUAUUCGGAGAGGCAUCUCUCCGGGUUGAAAACUCCGGUGGUUAUAGAUGGACACGCGUUGUAUUAGCUAGUUGGUGAGGUAACGGCUCACCAAGGCAACGAUACAUAGGGGGACUGCGAGGUUAACCCCCCACACUGGUACUGAGACACGGACCAGACUCCUACGGGAGGCAGCAGUGAGGAAUAUUGGUCAAUGGACGCAAGUCUGAACCAGCCAUGCCGCGUGCAGGAAGACGGCUCUAUGAGUUGUAAACUGCUUUUGUACGAGGGUAAACUCACCUACGUGUAGGUGACUGAAAGUAUCGUACGAAUAAGGAUCGGCUAACUCCGUGCCAGCAGCCGCGGUAAUACGGAGGAUUCAAGCGUUAUCCGGAUUUAUUGGGUUUAAAGGGUGCGUAGGCGGUUUGAUAAGUUAGAGGUGAAAUCCCGGGGCUUAACUCCGGAACUGCCUCUAAUACUGUUAGACUAGAGAGUAGUUGCGGUAGGCGGAAUGUAUGGUGUAGCGGUGAAAUGCUUAGAGAUCAUACAGAA
rnacentral:rRNA from 1 species